UACGGCCGCAUCAUAUUGAAAUACCGGUUCUCGUAUGAUCACCGAAGUUAAGCAACGUCGAGCCUAGUCAGUAUCUAGGUGGGUGACGGCCUGGAAAUACCAGGUGCUGUAAG